rnacentral:rRNA from 1 species
AUUGAACGCUGGCGGCAUGCUUUACACAUGCAAGUCGAACGGUAACGCGGGGCAACCUGGCGACGAGUGGCGAACGGGUGAGUAAUGUAUCGGAACGUGCCCAGUUGUGGGGGAUAACUGCUCGAAAGAGCAGCUAAUACCGCAUACGACCUGAGGGUGAAAGCGGGGGAUCGCAAGACCUCGCGCAAUUGGAGCGGCCGAUAUCAGAUUAGGUAGUUGGUGGGGUAAAGGCCCACCAAGCCAACGAUCUGUAGCUGGUCUGAGAGGACGACCAGCCACACUGGGAUUGAGACACGGCCCAGACUCCUACGGGAGGCAGCAGUGGGGGAUUUUGGACAAGGGGCGCAAGCCUGAUCCAGCCAUGCCGCGUGCGGGAAGAAGGCCUUCGGGUUGUAAACCGCUUUUGCCAGGGAAGAAACGCUCUGGGCUAAUACCCUGGGGUAAUGACGGUACCUGAAGAAUAAGCACCGGCUAACUACGUGCCAGCAGCCGCCGUAAUAC